UACGUAGGGUGCGAGCGUUAAUCGGAAUUACUGGGCGUAAAGCGCACGUAGGCGGACUACUAAGUCAGGGGUGAAAUCCCGGGGCUCAACCCCGGAACUGCCUUUGAUACUGAUAGUCUCGAGUCCGGAAGAGGUGAGUGGAAUUCCGAGUGUAGAGGUGAAAUUCGUAGAUAUUCGGAGGAACACCAGUGGCGAAGGCGGCUCACUGGUCCGGUACUGACGCUGAGGUGCGAAAGCGUGGGGAGCAAACAGG
rnacentral:rRNA from 1 species